ACCACACGCCACACACCACCAAGUAAAAUAGAGAAAGAAAGGAGAGAAUAGAAGGAGAGAGAGAAAUUGCGCAGGUGUAGUAGAUAGAAAUUAAGAGAGGGUAAAUGGAUUUAGUUGUCUCAAUUAGCUUUUCCUUUAUAAAUUGUAUUUGGCAUCACAUACAUAGAAUGGGGUCAAUAGUCAUAGCACUCGGGCAAAAGAAAAACAGUGGCCUUUUGGCCAAGAUAUAUGGAUCUUGAUAGCAAGAGGUGAUCAUGAAGUUCAACGGUGGCGAUUUAUUUGAGGUGUGGAGCCGGAUUAGUGGAAAUUGAAUCGGAGCAUAUAAGGAUUAAUUUGGAGAGGUCUUGGAAGAAUUGAUAAUUUUGAAGUAUCUAGAAGAUUAUUUAGAAGGCGGCUUAAGUUAAUUAUUUUGGUGAUGUAAUUUAUUUAUAGAGAAAAUAGGGACCUAGAAGUGUUUGAAAUAAAAUGUAUUUU